rnacentral:tRNA from 1 species
GGGGAUUUAGCUCAGUGGCAUAAGCGCCUGCCUUGAAAGCAGACAGUCGUGAGUUCAAUCUCUG